AAAAAAGAAGAAGUAAACUAGGAGGAAAUCAUCUCGACCAGGCUCCUUUUAUAUCACAAAUAAGCGUGGCAGAACUGUUACGUGCUUAUCCCCUUCCCUAUCCCUAUGUAAUAAGCCAAUCCUCCCAUUGUUUCGUACCUCACUUGAAAAAGCCACAGAAAUUUUAGCGCUUCAUUUGUUACCUUUGUUUCCUCUCUCUAGAUUUAUCUUUUAUACAUUCGUCAUCCCUGCAACUCAAUUGUUUGGUCGAAAAGAUCGGGUAUUAGGGUUUUUUUGGAUCCAUCGUUCUAACAAUAAGGAACUCAUCCGUGGCAACACGAGUGAAGUCAACUUAGUCCCUGCCUGCUACAGGGGCCUUUCCCAGAUCUGGUUAUCACUCUCACUCCCAAGCUCAAGCAGUUGUGUGCCAGAUUUUACAAGAUUACUAAGUUCCUUCUUAAUUUAGGUAAAUUUUUCAAAAUGGCAAGCGAAAUUCCUGCUCAUAAGCGAUUUUUAUCUAGUUCUUCAGAUUCAGAUUCUGUUGGUGAAAAUAGUAAAUCCGAAAUGGUUCCAUAUGUUGGUCAAUUGUUCUCUAAGGAUGGUGUAUUCAAUUAAGACUUUUAAAGAUUUUUUAAGACUUUUAAAGUUUGGUUGUAUUAAUCAAGACAUUUAAAGAGUUUAUAAAAGUUUACUAGUAUUCAAUUAUAAUUUUGUAAUGUCUUUAAAAGUUAGGUGGUAUUGAAUUGAGACUUUUAUAAAGCCUAUAAAAGUAUUUUGGUAUUCAAAAAAUCAUUGAUUUUUUAGAUUUCUAUCAAAUGGUAGAUUUUGAUAGACUUUAAAAGAAAAAUUAUAACUAUCAACCCAUAUCCAAAGUCUGACCUCAUCUCUAAAGACUUCUAAAUAUUAAACACAAAGGUAGCAAUUCAAAUAGCCAGUAAAAAGAUUACAGAGAGAUUUUAUGGAAAAUUCAAAGUCGCAAAACUCUCCGGUAAAUUUUUAAUUUAAAAUGUAUAAAUUAAUAUAAUUUUAGAAAAUAUAAUUAUUAAUUUUAUAAACUGUUUAUAUUUUUUUUACUAAAUUUAUUAAAAAUUAGUUAAAUUACACAAACUUUUAUUAUAGGAAUAUCUCAUUAUGACUUUGAAAAAUCAAACAGUAAAUUUUGAUUUUUAAUAUUAUAUUAUAUAUAUUCUAUAUUAUAUAGAUAUAGUAUACGAUAUAUAUGAAUCUUGAUAAAUUCUAAAACUCAUCAAAAUAAAAAAAUAGUUAAAAGAUGACAACGGUUGACUGUUAAAAAAUUAGUUACGUAGCAUUUUAAUUAAUUAAUUUCUAACAUCAUAAAUAAAUUAAAAAUUCGCAUAAUUAUUUUUUUAACGGUCAAUUUUGGUUCACUAACAACUAUUAAUAAUUUUAAGAAAAAAUAAAAUUUCUCUGGCAAUUUUGUCUGUGGCUUACCGACGAUUAAAAAUCUCUCUGGUAAUUUUUUUUAUAAUUGGUGGCAAUUUACUCACAUGUAUGAAGUUUUGCGAUCAUAUAAAUUUUCAUUGUCAUAUUAUUUUGUGAAAAAUAGAGUUUGAUACUCCUACUAAAAAAUCGUAUGCAUAUAUAGUUCAAUAAAAAGUGAGCUUAAUUUUUGUGUUGCGUCUGUAGCUUCUAAAGUUUUUUUUGUAUUCAAGUAUCCAAAUUUAUCAUGAAAUGAGUAGAAUAAUAUGAAUGCUUUCAACAUAUAUAAAAUCUCAUGCCACAAUAAUUUAAUGAAAUAAUGAGAUUUCCUGUAGCUCAUGAAAAAAGAGUUAGAGACUAUACACAUGGGCUAAUUAACAAUUAAUAUAAGCUACAAGAUAUAUGAGAAGUAUACAAAAGUCUAUCAAAAUCUUGGUAAAAAGUCUAUUAAAGUCUGUCACUUAUUUCAUGGAGUCUAUAAAAGUCAUUUUAAAAAAGUCUUUAAAAGUCAUAAAAUUCACAAAAUCUACAAAAGUCUGUCACUUAAAAAAAGUCUUUAAAAAUCUUAAUUGAAUACACCCUCCCUUGGAAGAAGUUGAAAAUUUUUAUAGAGCCUAUGGUCAAAAAAAUGGAUUUGAGAUUAGAAUUGCAACAAGUCAUAAACAUGUUCAUACGAAUGAUGUGUCCUCUAGGUUGUAUGUAUGUAAAAAAGCUGGUGCACCAACUGUUGUAAAGAGUUUACCAGUUGAUGAAGAUGGUAGUAAUAAAAUAACUAAACAGAGAGAUGGACGCACAUUAUGCAAAGCUAGAAUGUAUGUUGUCCAUAAUAAGAAAGAAGACAAUUGGCGUAUUUCUACUGUUGAAUUAGAGCAUAAUCAUAACUUAGUGACCCCUACUAACGUAGAUUUGAUUGAGACACACAAGAAUAUUAUUCCGAUUGCAGGGUCUUUAAUUGACACUUCACAUAAGUAUAAAUUAGGUUCUAGCAUGAUGAUGAACGUUAUGAGCUCAAUAGGUAAAGGAAUGCAAAAUGUUCAUGAUGUAAAUAUUCAGAAUGUGGUGAGAGAUUUAUGGCGUGAUUCGGAAGAUGAAAAUAAUGCACAAGCUGUAGUCAAUUAUUUGAAAAAACUUGCAUCUGGAAGUGCAAGUAAUUUUUUUUCCGUGUGAAACUCGGUGAAAACAAUCGCAUAACGUGUAUUUUGUGGAUAGACACCCGAUUAAGGUUAAUGUAUAAAUGGUUUGGUGACGUUGUGACAUUUGACACUACUUAUAGGGCAAAUAAUUAUUGCAUGCCGUUUCUUCCAUUUACCUGGGUUAAUCACCAUUAUCAGUCUAUUUUGUUUGGAUUUGCAUUGUUAUGGGACGAGACAAAUGACACUUUCAUUUGGGUAUUAAAAACGUGGCUUGAAGCUAUGGACUACAAGGCACCUAUAACCAUCAUCACUAUCGAAGAUAAAGCCAUGAGUAAUGCUGUUGCUACGGUACUCCCUUCCACUUAUCAUGUAUUGUGUUCUUGGCAUAUUAAGAAUACAUUUCCUUGGAAAUUGCAUCAUGUUUAUCUUGAGCACCCAUCGUUCAAAGAUCAUUUUAACAGUUGUGUGUGUAUAAUUCAUUGUUCAUCGAUGAGUUUGAAGAGCGUUGGCAAAUUCUAAUGAAGGAUUAUGAAUUGUAUAACAAUGGGUUGCUUAGAAGUUUGUAUGAUGUACGGGAGAAAUGGAUUCCUACGUAUACAAAGAGAUAUUUUGCCGCGGGAAUAACUACCACCGGAAGAAGAGAGGGCAUGAACCAUUUUUUUGAUGAGUCUGUUAAUAACAGACAUGAAAGAAUUUGUAGUGCAGAGUGAGAAGGCUAUAGUGAAACAAUUCAUCAGAGAGAGGAAGGCCGACUACAUAACAAACCAUCGGAAACGAAAUAUGGUAUACGGGUCACCUUUGGAAGUGUAUGCUGCAAAGGUGUACACAAAAGAGAUGUUUAGACGUUUCCAACGUCAAUUCACCGAUUCUCUGAAGUACAAUGUGAACAAAGUUAGUGAGCAGUGUGUCAUUGAUACUAAGGUCUAUGCAGUGUAUAGGGCAGAUGCAGCUGAAGGUGGUCAGAGAUAUAAAGAAGUUGUCCACAAUCGUCAGCUAGGGUCGGUAACAUGUAAUUGUCAAAUGUUUUCUCAUUCUGGCGAAAUAUGCAGGCACAUCUUGAGAUAUUUCAUGUUUAAGAGUAUUUCACAAAUAUAUGAUGACAUGAUUCUUCCUCGAUGGACAAGAGAUGCGAACAAGAGCAAUGGUGAAGAAUUAAUCGUUAACCCAACGACUCCUGACUUUGAACAAAAUCAAUCAAUGCGCUAUAAUUAUUUGAUGAGUGAUUUUCAGGAGUUAGCAAUCAAAGCUGCUUGCUCAGUCUGAGGCUACAAAACUGUCCUUAAACUGAUUGCACGAGGAAAAGCCCUGGUUGAGCAGUAUGAUCCGGAUGAGAAUAUUAGCGAGUUGGCAGACGAUGACAUUGAACGCGCGGUUGGAGUUACCUCAGGAUAUGAGUUUCGAUACUGAUGAUGAACAUGAAGCGGUGGAAGAGGAAGACGUGGAGUUUUUGCCACCAAUUGCUUCUCAAACAAAGGGCCGAAAAAAGCAAUCCAGAUUUAAAAGUUCACUUGAGAAAAUUGUGGGAACUAAGUCUCAUUAAAAAUGUGCAAUUUGCGGCUUUGAAACCAACCACGAUAAGUACGAUCACUAUAGAAAGUUUGGGAUUCCUGAGCCUAAAAAGUAAGUAAAUUUUAGUAUAUUCAAUAUUGUAUUAUUUAUGUUAUGUUUUUUGUAAAAUUUUAAUGGACAUGUAACUGAGAGUUGAAAUUUUAUGUUGAGUAUUUGAGAUUAAGAAUCAUUUGCUAAAUUUAUGCUAUCUGAGGUUGAAUAUUGUGUGCUAUUGCAAAAAGCUAUUGUGUACUAUCUGAUAUGCAAUAUUAUUUAAUAUUGUAUUAUUUAUGUUAUGUUUUUUGUAAAAUUUUAAUGGACAUGUAACUGAGAGUUGAAAUUUUAUGUUGAGUAUUUGAGAUUAAGAAUCAUUUGCUAAAUUUAUGCUAUCUGAGGUUGAAUAUUGUGUGCUAUUGCAAAAAGCUAUUGUGUACUAUCUGAUAUGCAAUAUUAUUUAUGCUAUGAAUGUGUUCUAAGACAAAAUGACAUUGUUUUUGCAAUUGCCUCUACAAGGUGUAGCGGCAAAUGCAGAAAUAAUAUGCCAUUUUGCCUCCCUGCACCUACAAGGUGUAGUGACAAUGUUCACUUUUGCCUUGGUUUUUUUAGCUCCUACUCCCUGCCGCUACAAGGUGUAGUUGCAAUUGCAAAAACAAUGUUCACUACUCCUAGCGGCAGUGAAGAAUUAAGUGAGGGCAAUGCUAUAAUUUUCCAGGCUGCUAGCUGCUACUCCUUGUAGGGACAAAGAUUAGAUUAUACGGAGGGUAUCUAGGUAAUUUCUUGUACUUCUCUGCCCCUUUUACCACAAGCUUUUGCAUCUUUUAGUGUUUAUUCUUUAAUAUGGUUACUCUAAGUUCGUUUAUUGCAAAAAUAUAUAUAAGUGUAUAUGUUUAUGAAUUAUUUAUAAAUAUUUGUAUCGAAUGAUCUAGGGUUGUUUUUCAUGAUGUAAUCUGUAUCUGUAAUAAUUCUUGAACCUUAGGUCUCCAUAUAUGUGUGUAUGUUUUGAAUUUCAACACAUGGGUACAUCUUUCUCGUAUUGUUCGUGUUUUCAUACCUUCUCUUCUUCAGGAAUGAAGAGUUGUUGUUUUGAUUUGUUUUGCAUCUGAUCUUCGUUUAGUUAUGUACUCAGUAACCCCCAGGACUGUAGAAUAAAGUGUAAUUCAACUGAAGUACUACUUUUUUUUUUAUUUAUUAAAAAUGGUUUUCUUUCUUGCUUAUUUAAAAUUUCCACAUGUUUUAUUUUAAAGUUUUGUAAAGAUCAUUUUGUUAUUUUUGCUUUUCUGGGGAAUGAAUUGUACUAGACAAAAGCUCCUAUAGUUAUGUUCGUUCUUGUUGAUUUUGGAUUUAUUUAUGUUAUUUAGUAAUAACAUUUAAAGGUUUGUCAUUAAAAUCAUUUAUCUGGGGAAUCAGAUGUUGGAAAAAAAAUUAAAUUUAUGGAUUUUUUUUUCUUCUGGGUUUUCGAGAUUUACUGUUUUGUUUGAGUCCAAGCCUUUUCGCAUUUAAUGGAAGGUAAAGGCAGAAUAAACAUGUUCUGUAUUUGAAUGGCUUGUUAUAAAAUGCUGUUUUUGUUUGAUUCACUUACUAGUACCUCUAGUAACUAUGUGAAAUAGCCUUUCCCUAAUUUACAUAUAUACACCUGCUUAAGGCUUUUUAGUCUCUUGCAUCUCCUUCUCCUGAACUGAGACUGAAAGAAGUAGACUAUGGUAACUGUUAAACUUUUCUCUUGUGUCAAUAUUUGUUUGAUGGGACUUUUCUUCCCUGUUAUGAUAUUUAUUUCAUUUUACCUGAUAACUCUGGGGAUGGUUUUUUAUUCGCAUAACUUAUAAAAAAAAACUUAUUUUAUUUAUUUAAUAAAAGCUAAUAACUGAUUAAUUUAUGCUUCCCUUCCUUGUGUUACAUCAUCUUAGUAAUCUUUUUGGUUGCUCAUUUUAUUGAGUGCCCUAGCAUUUAAAUCUUUCUCUAUAGUGUAAUUCUGUUGGAUUGUUAUAUCUUAUUUAUAUGUUAGCAUGAUAUUUUGUUUGAUCCUUGUGGUUAAUCCAUGUAUUUGAUUGAAGGUGACGCAAUUUCUACCAUUUAUGUUGCUGCACCAGAAGAUGGUUUCAGCUAUUAUGCUAGUUUUGAAGCAAUGGGCUAUUAUGAUUGUGAAUCUGCUUGAAAGGGUGUUGAGUUUUGUGUAGCUUUGCACAGUGAUUGAUAGCAUGAGAAAGGACCUUGGUUUGGAUAUUAAUCCUGAUGUUAAGGGAUAUAUCUUGGCAAGGGAGGAUGAGUUAUUUAUUACAGUUUUACAAAGGCCGAUCAGCUAGCUGUGGGUCUCCCAGAUCUCAACUCUACAACGCUAUUGGAGUGAGGAGGAGGAGGAAGUAGUGAAGAAAUAGUAGAUGUUUUUUACUUUCUUUGUGUUUCCAUUACUCUAACGUGUGUUUCAGUUUCCAAGUGAAUGAGAUGUUGACCACCACCACCUCUGAAUUAUUUAAAUAAAAAAGUUUCAAGUGCUGCGUGUACAUUUCUUCUUCAUAAUUGAAGAUGGCUCUAGUAAGGUUUAUAUUGGUAAAUCUCCGAGUAAUGAAUGACUUGAAUAAUUGUUUGUGAUCUACAAUUUUUAAGGAAAGAUUAUUUUUUUCCAAUA
rnacentral:lncRNA from 1 species